rnacentral:rRNA from 1 species
AUUGAACGCUGGCGGAAUGCUUUACACAUGCAAGUCGAACGGCAGCACGGGGGCAACCCUGGUGGCGAGUGGCGAACGGGUGAGUAAUACAUCGGAACGUGCCCAGUCGUGGGGGAUAACGUAGCGAAAGCUACGCUAAUACCGCAUACGAUCUCUGGAUGAAAGCGGGGGACCGCAAGGCCUCGCGCGAUUGGAGCGGCCGAUGGCAGAUUAGGUAGUUGGUGGGGUAAAGGCUCACCAAGCCGACGAUCUGUAGCUGGUCUGAGAGGACGACCAGCCACACUGGGACUGAGACACGGCCCAGACUCCUACGGGAGGCAGCAGUGGGGAAUUUUGGACAAUGGGCGAAAGCCUGAUCCAGCCAUUCCGCGUGCAGGAUGAAGGCCCUCGGGUUGUAAACUGCUUUUGUACGGAACGAAACGGUCCUGGUUAAUACCUGGGGCUAAUGACGGUACCGUAAGAAUAAGCACCGGCUAACUACGUGCCAGCAGCCGCGGUAAAGAG